rnacentral:lncRNA from 1 species
CCCGAGGCCAUAUUAGGAAUUAGGGUUCCUCUUUCGAUUCCAUUCGAGCCUUUGAGGCUAGGGUCAGAAGGUUUAGGGUUUUGGGUAUAAUUUGGGUGAAGAUUUUGUGUGAUUUCGAGUUUUUAUGGAAAAGAUAUGAAUGUUCAAAGAUAAGGUGUCAAUUUCGUACCUACUGUCACUUCUUUUGGGCAUCACAUACAAAUACGGAGAGCAACGGAAGAUCGGCGACUGGAUUUGGAGGGAGCAUUUUCUCGGCUACACAUUCUACUUACUGUAUAGUGAAUUCUAAGAUUGGGUGAAGGAGUUAUGAGGCGUUGAAAACAGCACUUGUAAUUUGAAG